rnacentral:rRNA from 1 species
GACGAACGCUGGCGGCGUGCCUAAUACAUGCAAGUGAAGUUCAGUGGCGGACGGGUGAGUAACACGUGGGUAACUACCCAUCAGAGGGGGAUAACUACUGGAAACGGUGGCUAAUACCGCAUACUGUCGGAUAACCCAUAUGGGAUUAGCUAGUAGGUAAGGUAAUGGCUUACCUAGGCGACGAUCCCUAGCUGGUCUGAGAGGAGUAUCAGCCACACUGGGACGUAGACACGGCCCAGACUCCUACGGAGGCAGCAGUGGGGAAUAUUGCACAAUGGGCGCAAGCCUGAUGCAGCCAUGCCGCGUGUAUGAAGAAGGCCCUAGGGUUGUAAAGUACUUUCAGUCGGGAGGCGUUACCGACAGAAGAAGCACCGGCUAACUCCGUGCCAGCCGCCGCGGUAAUAC